rnacentral:rRNA from 1 species
AGAGUUUGAUCAUGGCUCAGAUUGAACGCUGGCGGCAGGCUUAACACAUGCAAGUCGAGCGGGGGAAGGUAGCUUGCUACUGGACCUAGCGGCGGACGGGUGAGUAAUGCUUAGGAAUCUGCCUAUUAGUGGGGGACAACAUUCCGAAAGGAAUGCUAAUACCGCAUACGUCCUACGGGAGAAAGCAGGGGACCUUCGGGCCUUGCGCUAAUAGAUGAGCCUAAGUCGGAUUAGCUAGUUGGUGGGGUAAAGGCCUACCAAGGCGACGAUCUGUAGCGGGUCUGAGAGGAUGAUCCGCCACACUGGGACUGAGACACGGCCCAGACUCCUACGGGAGGCAGCAGUGGGGAAUAUUGGACAAUGGGGGGAACCCUGAUCCAGCCAUGCCGCGUGUGUGAAGAAGGCCUUAUGGUUGUAAAGCACUUUAAGCGAGGAGGAGGCUACUAGUAUUAAUACUACUGGAUAGUGGACGUUACUCGCAGAAUAAGCACCGGCUAACUCUGUGCCAGCAGCCGCGGUAAUACAGAGGGUGCGAGCGUUAAUCGGAUUUACUGGGCGUAAAGCGUGCGUAGGCGGCCAUUUAAGUCAAAUGUGAAAUCCCCGAGCUUAACUUGGGAAUUGCAUUCGAUACUGGAUGGCUAGAGUAU